AUUGAACGCUGGCGGCAGGCCUAACACAUGCAAGUCGAGCGGAGCGGCGGACGGGUGAGUAAUACCUAGGAAUCUGCCUGGUAGUGGGGGAUAACGUUCGGAAACGGAAGCUAAUACCGCAUACUACCAGAUGAGCCUAGGUCGGAUUGGCUAGUUGGUGGGGUAAUGGCACACCAAGGCCACGAUCCGUAACUGGUCUGAGAGGAUGAUCAGGCACACUGGAACUGAGAAACGGUCCAGACUCCUACGGGAGGCAGCAGGGGGGAAUAUUGGACAAUGGGCGAAAGCCUGAUCCAGCCAGGCCGCGUGUGUGAAGAAGGUUUUCGGAUUGUAAAGCACUUUAAGUUGGGAGACUUUACCAACAGAAUAAGCCCCGGUUAACUCUGUGCCAGCAGCCGGGGUAAUA
rnacentral:rRNA from 1 species